AUGGGCAGGGAGAGCCCCGGAAGCUUGGGGACAGGGGCAGAGCAGCCACAGAUGAGCAGGCAGGGACAGGAUGGGCAGGGGGAGCCCCAGGGGCUUGGGGACAGGGCCAGAGCAGCUCCAGGUGAGCAGGUGCAGGACGGGCUGGAGGAGCCCCAGGUGCUUGGGGACAGGGCCACAACAGCCACAGGUGAGCAGGGGCAGGAUGGGCAAGGGAAGCCCCAGGAGCUUGGGGACAGGGCCAGAGCAGCCUCAGGUGAGCAGCGGCAGGAUGGAUAUGGGGACCUCCAGGAGCUCAAGAGACAGUGUGAGCUGAGCCCAGUGAGCGGCUCCAAGGUGCUGGGAUGGAUAGGGAAGGGGCUCGGGGCUGAGGUCACCUGCACGGACAGGUGUGCUUGCAGAGAACAGGUGCCCAGGGCCCGGAGGGGCCCAAUCAGGGCUGAGCAGAAGCUGCCCAAGCCUGGGAUGCAGGUCACAGGAGAGCAGGAGGCCAGGCUGGGCCGUAAAGAUGAGAAGGCCUCCUCUCUUGCAGCCAGUACCAAGGCCCCCUCGGUCUUCCCUCUGCUGCCCAGCUGCGGGGACGCGUCCAGCCCCAUGGUGACCCUGGGCUGCCUAGUCCAGGGCUAUUUCCCUGAGCCAGUGACUGUGUCCUGGAACCAAGGUGCCCUGUCCAGCGGUGUGCACACCUUCCCGUCUGUCCUGCAGUCCUCGGGGCUCUACUCCCUCAGCAGCAUGGUGACCGUGCCCACCAGCACCUGGCCCAGCCAGAAAGUCACCUGCAAUGUAGCCCACCCGGCCAGCAGCACCAAGGUGGACAAGACCAUUGGUGAGAGGACAGGCCACAGGGAGGAUCAUGCACCAGAAGCUCCUGAAUUCCUGGGAGGACCUUCAGUCUUCAUCUUCCCCCCGAAACCAAAGGACCUCCUCAUGAUGUCCCUCAGCCCAGUGGUCACAUGCGUGGUGGUGGACAUCAGUCAGGAUGACCCCGAGUUCCAGAUCAGCUGGUUCGUGGAUGGCAAGCAGGUGCACACGGCCCAGACCAAGCCCCGGGAGGAGCAGUUCAACAGCACGUUACGCGUGGUCAGCGUCCUGCCCAUCCGGCACCAGGACUGGCUGAAGGGCAAGGAAUUCAAGUGCAAGGUUAAGAACGAUGCCUUCCCAGCCCCCAUUGAGAGAACCAUCUCCAAAGCCAAAGGGCAGCCCAUGGAGCCGCAGGUGUACGUCUUGGCCCCAUCCGCAAAGGAGAUGGUGAACAGCAAGGUCAGUGUCACCUGCUUGGCCAAAGGCUUCUACCCUGAUGACAUCUACGUCGAGUGGAAGCACAACAAGCAGCCAGUUGAGAACUACAAGACCACGCCGUCUGUGCUGGACGAUGACGGCACCUACUUCGUCUACAGCAAGCUCAUGGUGGACAAGAGGCAGUGGCAGAAUAAAGACGAAUUCACCUGCCACGUCCUGCACGAGGCCCUGAAAAACCACAGCACGCAGGAGUCCAUCUCCAUGCCUCCGGCGCUGCCACCCGACGAGAGCUGUGCCGAGGCCCAGGACGGGGAGCUGGACGGGCUGUGGACGACCAUCACCAUCUUCAUCACGCUCUUCCUGCUCAGCGUGUGCUACAGCGCCACCGUCACCGUCUUCAAGGUGAAGUGGAUCUUCUCUUCUUCUUGGAGCUGAAGCAGAUUAUCAUUCGCCACUACAGGAACAUGAUCGGGCAGGGAGCUUAG